rnacentral:rRNA from 1 species
UACGAAGGGGGCUAGGCGUUGCUCGGAAUCACUGGGCGUAAAGCGCACGUAGGCGGAUUGCUAAGUCAGGGGUGAAAUCCUGGGAGCUCAACUCCAGAACUGCCUUUGAUACUGGCGAUCUCGAGUCCGGGAGAGGUGAGUGGAACUGCGAGUGUAGAGGUGAAAUUCGUAGAUAUUCGCAAGAACACCAGUGGCGAAGGCGGCAUCACCUGGCCC